AUGCUUUCUCGGUCGAUCGGUGUUGAUGUCGAGUAUACGAGAGAAGACGAACCUCCGCAAAAGGCUGCAGUUCUACAGUUAUGCGUGGAGGAUCUCGUCCUGGUAUACCACCUCACCGCGGCAACCAAAUGGCCCAAGGAACUCCGCCCGCUCCUGCAGGAGAAGAAGCUUUACACCUUUGUUGACUUCUCCAUUGGAGGUGACAAGGAGAAGCUGAAAUUGUCUGGUUUGGAGAUCAACCCCGACAAGUACGUCGACAUGCAGCGCAAAUGGAGAGUUCCAAACAAUGGAAAGAAGUGGCAGGCUUUGGCUGAGUUUGCAGCUAGCCUCAUCCACACAUCGUACAAGGAAAUGAAGCAGAAGAUCAACAAGGAAUUGGACCACAAACUAUGGGGGGACAGCCCACUGCCAAACAACCUCAUCGAGUACGCAGCGAAAGAUGCGUACGUCACCUACGAGGCAUGGAAGAAAAUCGAAAUCAUCAAAGAAGGUUUGGAGUACUGGCAAGAGGCAGAGGAUCAUUGGGAUGACCCCUAA
rnacentral:rRNA from 1 species